UACGUAGGGGGCAAGCGUUGUCCGGAUUCAUUGGGCGUAAAGAGCGUGUAGGCGGUCAGGUAGGUCGGUUGUGAAAACUGGAGGCUCAACCUUCAGAGGUCGACCGAAACCAUCUGGCUAGAGUCCGGGAGAGGAGAGUGGAAUUCCCGGUGUAGCGGUGAAAUGCGCAGAUAUCAGGAAGAACACCCGUGGCGAAAGCGGCUCUCUGGAACGGUACUGACGCUGAGACGCGAAAGCGUGGGGAGCGAACAGG
rnacentral:rRNA from 1 species